UUUGUCUCUGACUGAGUCAACAUGUUCCCAGCCCUCACCAUCAGUGUAUUUGCUCUCUGGCACACAGGUUGGAGCCAGACUGUGCUGAUCACCCAGUGGCCAGGCUACAUCUCCAGCCAGCCUGACGCCUCGGUGAAGAUGCACUGUUACCAGAACAACACAGACCAUCCCUACAUGUUCUGGUACAGGCAGCAGAGAGGGAAGGAGCCCGUGCUGAUGGCUACUCUCGUAGCUGGCUCUCCGAGCUACGAACCUGGGUUUGAUUCUGGCUUUGGAGUGUCAAGCUCUGAGAAAAAGAUGUGGUCUCUGGCCGUGGAGGCGGUGCGCAUUACUGACGAGGCGGUGUAUCUGUGCGCUGCCAGUCAGCACGGUGCUGCAGAGUCACGGAGCUCUGAGACAAUAUCCCUCCCUGGGAGGGUGCCAGGAGGCUCUGACACCUGCUGUUCAUGGCCCAGCCUGCUCACUGGUGUCUGA